AUACGGAGGGUGCAAGCGUUGUUCGGAAUUACUGGGCGUAAAGCGCGCGUAGGUGGUCUGUUAUGUCAGAUGUGAAAGUCCACGGCUCAACCGUGGAAGUGCAUUUGAAACUGGCAGACUUGAGUACUGGAGGGGGUAGUGGAAUUCCCGGUGUAGAGGUGAAAUUCGUAGAUAUCGGGAGGAAUACCGGUGGCGAAGGCGACUACCUGGCCAGAUACUGACACUGAGGUGCGAAAGCGUGGGGAGCGAACAGGAUUAGAUACCCUGGUAGUCC
rnacentral:rRNA from 1 species